AGCGAACGCUGGCGGCAGGCUUAACACAUGCAAGUCGAGCGGGCAUCUUCGGAUGUCAGCGGCAGACGGGUGAGUAACACGUGGGAACGUACCCUUCGGUUCGGAACAACUCUGGGAAACUGGAGCUAAUACCGGAUACGCCCUUAUGGGGAAAGGUUUACUGCCGUAGGAUCGGCCCGCGUCUGAUUAGCUAGUUGGUGGGGUAACGGCCUACCAAGGCGACGAUCAGUAGCUGGUCUGAGAGGAUGAUCAGCCACACUGGGACUGAGACACGGCCCAGACUCCUACGGGAGGCAGCAGUGGGGAAUAGUGGACAAUGGGGGCAAGCCUGAUCCAGCCAUGCCGCGUGAGUGAUGAAGGCCUUAGGGUUGUAAAGCUCUUUUGUCCGGGACGAUAAUGACGGUACCGGAAGAAUAAGCCCCGGCUAACUUCGUG
rnacentral:rRNA from 1 species